rnacentral:rRNA from 1 species
AGCGAACGCUGGCGGCAGGCCUAACACAUGCAAGUCGAACGAAGUCUUCGGACUUAGUGGCGGACGGGUGAGUAACACGUGGGAACGUGCCUUUAGGUUCGGAAUAACUCAGGGAAACUUGUGCUAAUACCGAAUGUGCCCUUCGGGGGAAAGAUUUAUCGCCUUUAGAGCGGCCCGCGUCUGAUUAGCUAGUUGGCGAGGUAAAGGCUCACCAAGGCGACGAUCAGUAGCUGGUCUGAGAGGAUGAUCAGCCACAUUGGGACUGAGACACGGCCCAAACUCCUACGGGAGGCAGCAGUGGGGAAUCUUGCGCAAUGGGCGAAAGCCUGACGCAGCCAUGCCGCGUGAAUGAUGAAGGUCUUAGGAUUGUAAAUUCUUUCACCGGGGACGAUAAUGACGGUACCCGGAGAAGAAGCCCCGGCUAACUUCGUGCCAGCCGCCGCGGUAA